rnacentral:misc_RNA from 1 species
ACAGAAGUGAGCAAAUCAUUGACUCACUUCUUAAAUUCAAGAAAUAAUUGAUUUUCCACAAGCACAUUCAUACAUAUUUAAAAAGCCAACUCACAAAGUAAUACCCACUGCUACAGUGGCCACUACAGCAGUGACCCCAUAAAGAUGAAGAGAUCAGCAGUAGAAGGAAGAAAAACACACACACACACAAAUGGUGGCAUUUAUAAUUUUAUCCCUCAAAAUCAGUUUUAACCCAUUGACCAUAUUUGCUCUUCAUCUUCUCAUCAAAUUCCUUGGCUUUUAUCUCCGCAAUUUUGGCUGCAUUUGCCAUGGACUCCUCUUGUACUCUUGCAAUCUUUCUGCUUCUCUUUUUCGCUGCAGCCUCUCUUUCUGCAUCCAAACUUUCAUAAUCUCUUACCCAACAGUUAUGUACAGCGCAGCUCAAAGCUAACACCAUUACCUGCAGAAUAAACAUUGCCAUUAAAACCCCACAUUCUAUUCUCACCAAAAGCUUUGCCUCUCUGGGGUCUCUUGGGGAUUUGAGCAUUGAAAGGCUUGAUUUUUCUCUUGUAAAUAAGACUAAUAUGCUUAGUACUUGUCCAAUCAAAGAGGCAAAGUGAAGCGAAAUGUGGGUUACGAAACAGAAAUGACUUAGCUGAGAGUAAAAUCCGACAAACGAGCAGAGAAGGGAGAUGCAAGAAACUGUAAGUAAUGCCAAGCCUAGAGAAGUUGGUGGCAUUUUUAGGAGAAUAAUGGGUGCAAGAGAGGCUGAGGAGAGGAUAAACAGGGUAAAAUUUAAGCAUGAGAGGAGAAGAUUUGGGAAAGAGCAUGAGCUUCUGAGCUUAGAGGAGGCCAUUUUGGGGUUGAUAGAAUCUAUGCUCCAAGAUCUUUGCUUUGAAGAGGGUAGAAGAUUUGAAUUUAUAUAACAGGUGGGAUUUGGCCGUUAGAGGCUUGGAGAUUGUGACACAACGGCUAGGACAUUAGACAGACA